rnacentral:tRNA from 1 species
UGGGAUAUAUUAUAUACAUUAUAUUUUAGUUACAUUAAAAAGAUGCAUUUAUAGUUGCUAUCCUUA